AGAAUCACAAGGGCGAUUCCAUGAUCACGAAGGUGGUUUCCCCAGGGUGAGGCUCGCCCAUUGCACUCCGGGCAUGCUGACCCCUGCGAUUUCCCCACAUGUGGGAAAGUCGACUGCGUAAUUUAUGGUAGUGGGGGACUGCGUGCGCGCUCUCCCCUG